CUUGGGUGGCAAGCAACCAGCGGCUUGCCCCUGCCCACCGUUGGUACACCAGUGGCAAACUGCUAGGUUACUGAAACUAAGAAUUUUAAAAAUCUUAAGAAAAUACAUGAAAAACAAUAUGAGACUGCAUAUAGGGCUUAUUUAACGAAAUGCAUACAUAUUUUUUUAAUAUUUCAGUUUAAAAGAAUUUUAAGGAUAGAAUAAAAAAUGAGAGAUAGUGUUUGAUACAAUAUAGUCCACGUGCAGGCGUGGUAAUUUGGACAUUUAUAGACAACAAAACGAGUUUGUGAUUUCAUAAUCAUUUGAGGAGAUUUUAAAUUGUUGUAGUGAUUAUGUCAAUGUGUGAAUUUGCCAUGACGCGUGUGCUGUGCGUGCCGAACACGUGCCCUUUUUGGCUUGUUCGACUUCAUGCGGCGCUGCAAGAACCGACAGCUGUAUGACGUCAAAGUACCGCGAGAACGAUUCGAGAACUCAUACGAAGUGUAAUUUCGUCUCGCUCUCGCGGCACUUUAACGUCAUGCGUCUGUCAGUUCUAGCGGGGCCGCAGGCAGGAAGUCGAACAGCCGUCUUUCCCUCAAUACGGAUUACCAUGAGGUGGGACUGACGAAGCUCCUCUUUCACGGGUUUCUUUACUGUUUUCAGAUUUUCCUUGCUGAUAUCCGUGCAGCAGAGUCAAAGCAGACCUGUCAGAAAACAUCUCUAAGUUGCUAUGAAUCUCAUAACUAAAAUCCUCCAUCUUUUCUUUCAGUUUAGUGACAGAUUUCAUCACAUCAUCAAAAGAGAGAAGAGAACAGACAGUGAUGUUGUCUGAAGAUCCAGAAGAUGAAGCGAGAGACUGAAAACUCUACAUGAACACAACAC